rnacentral:lncRNA from 1 species
AAAAAAACAAAAAAAAAAAAUAAUACAAAAAAAAGAAAAGACAAGACCACAAAAAAAUUGAAUGAUGAAUCUACCAGAUAUAUGAUCUUAACGCCUUCUUCCAUGGAUAAGAUAAUGUCUUGUAUUCUCGUCUAUCAAUUUUUCAAGGCAGAAAAAGAGAGAAAGAGAGAGAGAGAGAGAGAGAGAGAGAGAGAGAGAGAGAGGAGCCAUAAGAGGAAAGGGAUCGUUAAUUUUGUUUUCGUAAUGAGAUCGCCGACACAUUGUUUGUUCACCACUGAUAUCUCGAUAAAGAGUUCCCUUAAGAUAUUCAAGAGGAUAAAUUAUUUUAAUUAGACCAAAAACGAUCAAUUAAAUUGAAUACAAUGUGUGUCUUUAUUAUUCCUGCAAAUAUUCAAGAAGAUUUAUUAUUAUGUCUGGUUCUAAAAUUGACGAAGGAUAAUAAUCAUGGCUGAUGAUUCAGAAGAAGAUUGGUAUUAUUUUUGAAAAAGUAUCAGACUAAAAUUAAAAUCAUACGUAAUCGUGUUGAAUUUUUUAACACGGUAUUUAUGGGAUAGUGGUGUACGAAUAGUAUAAAAUACGUGGGCGUGAUUUUGCCAUGAGCAACGUUCAUUUUCUUGUGGUUUAUUUCUUCUUUUGGUUUGUGUGUCUCUUUGAAGACGUCAUGGUUGCGUAACACUUCAAACAGAGGAUGAGUACUACACGCAAAAACGUUAAGAACAUUUUGUUAUAGGUGGUGAAUUAUUGGUGGUAAUGAAAAAGAAGGUCAAUGGCUAAUACCUAAUGUGUUAAACUUGGCAAAGGAAAUUUAUUUAUUCAUCAUUGGGACAUCGAUAUCGACGUCAAUACCAUUAGAAAGGACUUUGCAAGAGAUCGGUGGGAUUAGAUCGACCUAUUUUCUGCCAGUACGUCUGCACUCCAUUAUUCAAUAUCAUAG